CUACGGGCGGCUGCAGUGAGGAAUAUUGGACAAUGGUCGAAAGACUGAUCCAGCCAUGCCGCGUGCAGGAUGACUGCCCUAUGGGUUGUAAACUGCUUUUAUACGGGAAGAAAAACACCUACGUAUAGGUGACUGACGGUACCGUAAGAAUAAGGACCGGCUAACUCCGUGCCAGCAGGCCGCGGUAAUACGGAGGGUCCAAGCGUUAUCCGGAAUCAUUGGGUUUAAAGGGUCCGUAGGCGGGCUAUUAAGUCAGAGGUGAAAGUUUGCAGCUCAACUGUAAAAUUGCCUUUGAUACUGAUAGUCUUGAAUUGUAGUGAAGUGGUUAGAAUAUGUGGUGUAGCGGUGAAAUGCAUAGAUAUCACAUAGAAUACCGAUUGCGAAGGCAGAUCACUAACUAUAUAUUGACGCUGAGGGACGAAAGCGUGGGGAGCGAACGGGAUUAGAUACCCUAGUAGUC
rnacentral:rRNA from 1 species